rnacentral:lncRNA from 1 species
UUUUUACAAAUUCAAUUCACUUCCAUCUCUUGGAUUUCUUUCUAUUUGUCUAACAAAAAAUAUAUUAUUUUUUACAUAAGAACCACACAAAAAUGAUCAGAUUUAGGGACCAACCCCAAUUCAUCAAUGGUGACACUCUUAGAGACUAUGCGUACACACCUUCGACAAAGGGUGGGCGUGACAUCCUCGUCUUCGGUGACCCUAAAUUAAACAAACAAUGAACAAACAAUUGAUGAUCUGCAACCUCAAGAAUCCACUUUAGAUCUUUGUGUACUGCAAGGACACCUACCUCAUUAUGUUUAUGUGUGUUACUCCCACAACAAGUGAAUCUCCUCCGUUGAAAUCCCGCAUCUAGGGGACCCACAAUGACGACUACCCAUGGCAGCUUCUAGAUCUAAGAUUUGAUUUUUUUUUCUCUUUUUCUUUUUUGUGUUUCUGG